rnacentral:rRNA from 1 species
UCGGGAAUUUUGUGCAAUGGGCGAAAGCCUGACACAGCAACGCCGCGUGAAGGAUGAAGUCCCUCGGGAUGUAAACUUCGUAAGAAUAGGAAGAAUAAAUGACGGUACUAUUUGUAAGGUCCGGCUAACUACGUGCCAGCAGCCGCGGUAAUACGUAGGGACCAAGCGUUGUUCGGAUUUACUGGGCGUAAAGGGCGCGUAGGCGGCAAUUCAAGUCAUCUGUGAAAUCUCCGGGCUUAACUCGGAACGGUCAGAUGAUACUGCUUUGCUAGAGUGCAGAAGGGGCAAUCGGAAUUCUUGGUGUAGCGGUGAAAUGCGUAGAUAUCAAGAGGAACACCUGAGGUGAAGACGGUUGCUGGGCUGACACUGACGCUGAGGCGCGAAAGCUAGGGGAGCGAACGGGAUUAGAUACCCAAGUAGUCCCUGAGCGGGCUGGCAAGGCGCAU